CUCCUCUCAGAAUCACACCUGGAGAGGUUCCAGUACUCUGCCAGUCUCAGCUACAGGGGGGAGAAUCAAGCAGAGGCAUACCCAUUCUAUUACUAGCUUAGGCAGUGGCUAGCCAGUGGAAGGCAAUCUGCUACAAGU